GGAGCAUCCACAGAGGGAGAGCCAAGACAUCCCAGUGCUCAGCAACUCUGAGCCCUCCACUGGCAGCAGAAGUCUAGCAUCUCAGAACUGGUCUUGGUUUCUCAUCGAUGCUAGGAAGGGGGACUCAUUGGUUGGCAGUUGCUAUCUGUGAUUGCCCUCAUGCUCUCUUUCUGGUUGGAUCUCUGCAUAACUUCAGGCCCAGGGAAAGAGGAAUCUAAGUACUCCUUUGGGAUAAGCUCAGGAUGAGUUGAACAGCUAAUGAGAGGCACAUGAUAAGCAGAGGCACCCUUCAAUUGUUAACAUGUGCAUAGGAAGAAUGAAUGGAUUAAAUAUGAUCGAAGAAAGCCAAUGAGGCUUAAUCCAAGAACAGAUGCAACCAAGACUUAGAUGAGCAAAGAAUUGAGUCUCCCCUGGUCUCCCAGCCUCAAUGCUGGCUGCAAUAUGAGAUUUACAAAGGGAAAAGUGAAAAAGAUUCUCAUUAAAUCCAAUUGUUGAA